GCAUGCGCACUGGAUCUGCAUGGCCUCCAGCAACCGGCACCUGUGUGAGGAACGCAAGUGUGCCCCGACUGUCAAAAUCGUCAAAGUCAAAGCUGUGCCUCACUCGUGGGCUUUCGCAAUAAGAUUUUGAAGGAGACUGGAAUGGAAGCCGCAAACAAGAAAGUUGCUGCAGCCCAUAUAGGGCUCCCGUGGUGAACAUGGCUGCCCAGGAAAACAUAUCUUUGUGUUGAAGCCGGUCUGUGCAUAUUUUAAUGAAGACUAUGAGGUCUGCACCUCGUUCCACACUCACAAAGCUGGCCAGACAGCUGUAGAGUGAAGACCCCCAACACCACGCCUCUGCUAUUGGUAUGAGUGCUUCCAUUUCUUGGAAGUGUUUUUUUACUGCUAUUGGCACCUUGCAGUGGUCAUUUCUUCUUCUUUGUGUAAAACAUAUUUAUGUUUUGUGCAACUGAAAGUAAGUAUGCUGUCACAAAAUAAGAAUCUGUGCUGCAGCUGCAACAUGGGCUCUCAAAGCAUUUGCAGUCACUGCAAUAGAUUUAUGUACAUCUCUCUCUCUCUUAUAGGGUCAUCACUACUACUCUUCUCAGGCAUUGUUCUUCCCUUGGACAAUGACAAAACACUAACUGCAAGGAGCGUGGAGAAAGCAUUGGCGCUUCAGCUCGGAGUGUAUUUCAACUACGAUGUGCAGUUCCUGCCACCAACGUUUCUUAUGUUACAAUCCAUGCAAUGAUACCAAAAAACCUGCUGCUGCUCUAGGCAAUGUGGCGUUAUUGGCAAACUUGGUUAUCAUACAUUGACUUGUGGACAGCUAGCUAUUUUGGACACAUCAGCACUGAAAGUGGAACAAAGCACACCAAUGGUAAUCAAGCUUAAGUAGCAUGCCUGUUUGCGUUCUGUCACUCAUCUGCGAACUGGGGUA